GACGAACGCUGGCGGCGUGCUUAACACAUGCAAGUCGAACGGAAAGGCCCUGCUUGCAGGGUACUCGAGUGGCGAACGGGUGAGUAACACGUGGGUGAUCUGCCCUGCACUUCGGGAUAAGCCUGGGAAACUGGGUCUAAUACCGGAUAGGAGCCAUUUUUAGUGUGAUGGUUGGAAAGUUUUUUCGGUGUAGGAUGAGCUCGCGGCCUAUCAGCUUGUUGGUGGGGUAAUGGCCUACCAAGGCGGCGACGGGUAGCCGGCCUGAGAGGGUGGACGGCCACAUUGGGACUGAGAGACGGACCAGACUCCUACGGGGGGCAGCAGUGGGGAAUAUUGCGCAAUGGGCGCAAGCCUGUGGCAGCGACGCCGCGUGCGGGAUGACGGCCUUCGGGUUGUAAACUCCUUUCGCUAGGGACGAAGCUUUUUGUGACGGUACCUAGAUAAGAAGCACCGGCUAACUACGUG
rnacentral:rRNA from 1 species